rnacentral:rRNA from 1 species
CGCGAAAGUCCCCUUCGGGGGAUGAGUAGAGUGGCGCACGGGUGAGUAACACGUAGGUAAUCUACCUUUGGGUGGGGAAUAACAGCCGGAAACGGCUGCUAAUACCGCAUAGUGCAGCGGCUCGACAUCGAGACAGUUGUUAAAGCGGGGGAUCGCAAGACCUCGCGCCUAAAGAGGAGCCUGCGGCAGAUUAGCUAGUUGGUAAGGUAAUGGCUUACCAAGGCGACGAUCUGUAACCGGCCUGAGAGGGCGGUCGGUCACACUGACACUGACAUACGGGUCAGACUCCUACGGGAGGCAGCAGUCGGGAAUUUUGGGCAAUGGGCGAAAGCCUGACCCAGCAACGCCGCGUGAAGGAUGAAAUCCCUCGGGAUGUAAACUUCGCAAGAAUGGGAAGAAUAAGUGGGGGACAAUACCCCCCAUGAUGACGGUACCAUUUGUAAGCUCCGGCUAACUCCGUGCCAGCAGCCGCGGUAAUACGGGGGGAGCAAGCGUUGUUCGGAUUUACUGGGCGUAAAGGGCGCGUAGGCGGUCGUGACAAGUCACUUGUGAAAUCUCCGGGCUUAACUCGGAACGGUCAAGUGAUACUGUCGGACUAGAGUACAGAAGGGGCAACUGGAAUUCUCGGUGUAGCGGUGAAAUGCGUAGAUAUCGAGAGGAACACCUGCGGCGAAGGCGGGUUGCUGGGCUGAUACUGACGCUGAGGCGCGAAAGCCAGGGGAGCGAACGGGAUUAGAUACCCCGGUAGUCCUGGCCUAAACGAUGAAUGCUUGGUGUCU